rnacentral:rRNA from 1 species
GAAAGAUGAAAAGAACUUUGAAAAGAGAGUUAAACAGUACGUGAAAUUGUUGAAAGGGAAACGAUUAAAGCCAGUCGUACCGGCGGGUAAUCAGCCUUUUGGGUGUGAUUAUGUGGAACGUGAGGAGUUUAAUCGCCUUCAUGCCUGCAUAUUCGUGCACUUUGGGUGUACUUGCUCGUGUGGUAGGUUAACAUCAAUUUCGAUCAUCAUAAAAUGAUUGGGGGAAUGUAGCUUCGAUCUCGUGUUGAAGUGUUUUAUA